rnacentral:tRNA from 1 species
AAGGGUAGAGCUUAGAGGCAGAGUGUGUAAUUAGCAUGCAUGAGGUUCUGGGUUCAAUCUCCAGUACCUUUA